UAGGGAAUCUUCCGCAAUGGACGCAAGUCUGACGGAGCAACGCCGCGUGAGUGAAGAAGGAUUUCGGUUCGUAAAACUCUGUUGUUAAGGAAGAACGAGUGUGAGAAUGGAAAGUUCAUACUGUGACGGUACUUAACCAGAAAGGGACGGCUAACUACGUGCCAGCAGCCGCGGUAAUACGUAGGUCCCGAGCGUUGUCCGGAUUUAUUGGGCGUAAAGCGAGCGCAGGCGGUUAGAUAAGUCUGAAGUGAAAGGCAGUGGCUCAACCAUUGUAGGCUUUGGAAACUGUUUAACUUGAGUGCAGAAGGGGAGAGUGGAAUUCCAUGUGUAGCGGUGAAAUGCGUAGAUAUAUGGAGGAACACCGGUGGCGAAAGCGGCUCUCUGGUCUGUAACUGACGCUGAGGCUCGAAAGCGUGGGGAGCGAACAGG
rnacentral:rRNA from 1 species